rnacentral:rRNA from 1 species
AGUGAACGCUGGCGGCAGGCCUAACACAUGCAAGUCGAGCGGCAGCGCGGGGGCAACCCUGGCGGCGAGCGGCGGACGGGUGAGGAAUUCGUCGGAAUCUGCCUUUUUGUGGGGGAUAACGUAGGGAAACUUACGCUAAUACCGCAUACGUCCUACGGGAGAAAGUGGGGGACCGCAAGGCCUCACGCAGAAAGAUGAGCCGACGACCGAUUAGCUAGUUGGUGGGGUAAAGGCGCACCAAGGCGACGAUCGGUAGCUGGUCUGAGAGGAUGAUCAGCCACACUGGGACUGAGACACGGCCCAGACUCCUACGGGAGGCAGCAGUGGGGAAUAUUGGACAAUGGGCGCAAGCCUGAUCCAGCCAUGCCGCGUGUGUGAAGAAGGCCUUCGGGUUGUAAAGCACUUUUGUCCGGAAAGAAAUCCCUGGAGCUAAUACCUUCGGGGGAUGACGGUACCGGAAGAAUAAGCACCGGCUAACUUCGUG